rnacentral:rRNA from 1 species
UACGUAGGGGGCGAGCGUUGUCCGGAGUUACUGGGCGUAAAGCGCACGCAGGCGGUCUGCUAAGUUUGGAGUGACAGUUGGUGGCUUAACUGCCAAAGUGCUUCGGAAAACUGACAGACUUGAGGGCUUCAGAGGGACACGGAAUUCCGGGUGGAGUGGUGAAAUGCGUAGAGAUCCGGAGGAACACCAAAGGCGAAGGCAGUGUCCUGGGGAGUACCUGACGCUCAGGUGCGGAAAGCCCAGGGGAGCGAACGGG